ACUCUACCCCAGAAUUUAUAUCAUAAAUGUUCCCUACUGCUAUUCAAAAUAAUUUCUGCAAGAUCUGUAGAUCCUCUAACUGAAAUUUAGUGUACAGUGUUUUCACAUUAAUUUCAAAAUUUUAUGCUUUUUUUCCCAUUAGGUGGAAAACUCUUAAUUCCUAAUCACACCAGUAUAACUGCUAAUAGUGAGACUGCUGAAUCCAAUUUAAACAUUCUUAACAUUUUUUCGUCCUUAGAGUAUAUGUAAUUGAGAAUGUUCAGUAAAAAAAUAUGAUGUUCUAGGGUCAGCGGGAAUAAUUCUUUUCUCUCUGUGGUUAUCUUACUGACAAUGUACAAUUUAGCUCAUGUGUUUCUUUUUUCUCAGUUUACAUGUGUGUGGUGGGGGGUAGUGCUCUUUUUGGAUAAAACUUGAUUUAUGGAUUAUGUCAAAACGUUACAUGAUUCCAAAGUUAAACCACCUAUCAAGGUGAAUUCAGGAGCUGUGGUCCUACUUCCUGUUAUACUAAUAAGGUAUCUAUCUGCAUGGAAGCCUCAUUCUGCUAGGGACAGACUGUUCAUGGUGCCUUGCUGAACAUUUGAUCACCUGUAAGAAGUACCUUCCUUAUCUAUUGCUGGCUGCCUCCCAUCAGGUUCUGCCUACGGACAUUCUCUGCACAUAGCUAUUACAGUCAGUACCUGAAAGCUCGGUCCCUCUCCUGUUCUGCACAAAAACCAAUGUCUCCCCAGUGCCUCACACACCAACUUGAGACUCCUGAAUAAUACACAAGACACGGUCUGUUCUGUCACCCAGACUGGAGUGCAGUGGUUGCUCUCCAGCUCCCAGGCACAAGUGAUUCUCCAGUCUCUGUCUCCUAGGUAGCUGGACUACAGGCAGGGUCUUUAAAAGGUGAUGAAGCCAAGAGGACUCCUCCUAGUCAAUGGGAUUAAGGUCUUUAUAGAAGAGGUUUCACACAGUGUUCGGCUAGUAUCCGUCUGUAUCCUGCCACAUGAGGCCCCAGUCAGAAGACCCACGCAAGAUACUGAGCCUUGAUUUUGGACUUCUCAGCCUUCAUCACUCUGAGAAAGUAAGUUUCAGUUUUUAUAAAUUACUCAGGCUGUGGUAUUCUGUUAUAGCAGCACAAAAUGGAUUAAAACAGCCUCUUAAAGCUCAAUGUCCCUGGUGGGUGAUCAGCCUUGUUGUGCUGUGUGGCCCCUGCAACGCUGGUCCGUUCAACUAAUGCCAUGAAUGGGGCAGAAAGUAAGAGCAAGAUGCCCUCAGGAGUUUGUAAGCUUUGGUGCUUUUCUCUGCACUCUUGAAAGAAAUACCUCUCUGAGUUAACAAUAUAAUUUCUCUUUUUAACACUUUAAAAUAAUUAUUACUGUGUGGGUGAAGAACUUUAGUUCGGUUCUAAAACAUCGGGAUUUGAGACGUCUUAACUGAAAUCUAGAGGUUAAGUUUUUCCUUUACUAAAGCUUCCAAGUACAGAAAAAUCUCACAAAGUUGAACUAACAGAAGAGGCACCAUUUAUAAAGUUAUUGUUGGAAAAUAAAACACAGUUUUAAAUACUUAAACAUAAU